GACGAACGCUGGCGGCAGGCCUAACACAUGCAAGUCGAACGAGUGGCGGACGGGUGAGUAAUGUCUGGGAAACUGCCCGAUGGAGGGGGAUAACUACUGGAAACGGUAGCUAAUACCGCCUACUAUCGGAUGUGCCCAGCUGGGAUUAGCUAGUAGGUGGGGUAACGGCUCACCUAGGCGACGACCCCUAGCUGGUCUGAGAGGAUGAACGGCCACAUUGGAACUGGGACACGGCCCAGACUCUUACGGGAGGCAGCAGUGGGGAAUAUUGCACAAUGGGCGCAAUCCUGAUGCAGCCAUGCCGCGUGUGUGAAGAAGGCCUUCGGGUUGUAAAGCACUUUCAGCGAGGAGGCGUUACUCGCAGAAGAAGCACCGGCUAACUCCGUGCCAGCAGCCGCGGUAAUAC
rnacentral:rRNA from 1 species